UAGGGAAUAUUGGUAAUGGGCGAAAGCCUGAACCAGCAACGCCGCGUGUGCGAAGAAGGCCUUCGGGUUGUAAAGCACUUUUUAAGGGGAUGAGGAAGGACAGUACCCUUAGAAUAAGCCUCGGCUAACUACGUGCCAGCAGCCGCGGUAACACAUAGGAGGCAAGCGUUAUUCGGAUUUACUGGGCGUAAAGCGCGUGCAGGCGGUUUGGUGAGUUGGAUGUGAAAGCUCCCGGCCUAACUGGGAGAGGUCGUUCAAUACUACCAGACUAGAGGAUGGGAGAGGGAGGUGGAAUUCCGGGUGUAGUGGUGAAAUGCGUAGAUAUCCGGAGGAACACCAGUGGCGAAAGCGGCCUCCUGACCCAUUUCUGACGCUCAGACGCGAAAGCUAGGGUAGCAAACGG
rnacentral:rRNA from 1 species